CUUGACUGUAUCUUGGAAUUGGGUUCGGGCUUUUCUUGCGCAGACUAGGUGGGAGGCUAUGAAGAUUUUCUUCCGGGGAAGUUGGAGCCAACAGUGAGAGACCACUCUGGAAAGGCUAGAAUCCUAAUGGUGAUCCUUGAAUCAGGACACUUGACAGUUUCAGGUGGGCAGUUUGUUUGGGGCGAACGCCUCAUAAAAGGUAACUGAGGCGCGCAAAGGUCCCCUCAGUCUGGACGGAAAUCAGACAUUGAGUGUAAAGGCAAAAGGGGGCUUGACUGCAAGACCUACAAGUCGAGCAGGAGCGAAAGCUGGUCUUAGUGAUCCGACGGUGCCGUGUGGAAGGGCCGUCGCUCAACGAAUAAAAGUUA
rnacentral:rRNA from 1 species